CCAGAAAAUGCAUGUUCUAAUUCAACAUUUAUAGAGAAAAAAAAUAUCCAAUUUCUUGCGUGGGUUUGUUAAGCAACAAAUUUGUGAUCGUUUGAGGGUAGUUUGGAGCAAUUCAGUCCACGAAAUCAAUUGGGUAUGAGUAUGGAUGAAUUGCUAGAUGGUUUGGAUACAGUAUCGUCAAAGACUAUUGAUAAACAUGUACGUAAAUAUAUGAAAGAUCAUCACAAAUUAAAUUUUACAAGUAUUUUGAAAGACGUUGAAGUGUAUUAUAAAAUUGAAGUGAACAAUAAUCCGGCAGCACAACGAUAUAUUGUGACAAUUGUGGCUUUUCUUCUGCUUUUGAGUUCGUCAACGGGGAUAAAGUCUUAGUUAAAGCCAUAGCUGAGAGAUGGUGGGAAAAAACGAAGAGCUUUCAUUUUUCAAGAGUUUGAAAUUGGCCUCUUUCUAGUAGAUUGGUACAUGUUAACGGGAACUCCCACUGGUGACCCUAGUAAACGACCAGUAGUUAUGCCGCAGUUGGUUAGUGAUCUAACAUAUCCUUCUCUGGAUGAUUUAUAUUUUUUGGAUAUUAAAAAUUAUCAUGGUGCAUGGGACUCUAAGAAAAAUUCAUUAUCCUUGGCUAUCUUGAAAAACUACAUUGAAAGUAAAGAAAACCAGGACAAUAUUGAAUGUGCAGAGACAUUGACGGGGGCAUUCUUUAUGUGGUGUUUUGGUCAUUUUCUUCUUGCGCAUUCUAGUAGAAGAGUAGAUAAGCGUUGGGUUAUAUUGUUGGGUGAUUUAGAUAGAGUUGGGUAAUAUGACCGGUGUAUAGCUUCGUUAGGUAAUACCUAUAAAUUUCUUGACGAAUGGUCAACCAACGAUAAGGACUUUUCUGUCAUGGUUAUGGAAAUUGAGUAUUGGUACUCUUAUUACUUCCACAACAUGCAAUCCUUGCUUCGUCAGAUACCUGGAGAUCAUUAUGAUGUUUUCCCAAAGAUUUGUAUCUUCAAGAAGACUAACAUUAUAUCAAGGAAAAGAGGACAUAGAGGAGGCCAAAAGGACACUAGGAAAUACUCGAUCAGUCACAAGCGCAAGAACACAGAUUGACACUAGCACAAGUGCAUCAUAUAUUUGGCAACCAUGGUUAGAUAGUGUGUAUGCUGUGGGAGAACAAUAUGAACUCGCACUACAAGUAUCCAGAAGGAGAGUUGUGUUUUUUGACUUGAAUGAAAACACAAGAGUUAGUUGUUA